CGGUCGUGGGAGCCUAGCGCUGCGGCGCGUGGAGCGGGGAGAGCUCCCGCGGGCCUGAGAAACGCAGAUACCCUCAGAAAGGAAACGGAUGCGACCUAGACGCUGGAGACGAAACGAAAGAUGUCUUGACUUUGGGAUCGAACUCAGGUCCUUGCCCUUGUGCAGCAGAUGGUGAAACCACUGAGCUAAAUCCCCGGCCAAGGCUUCUUGUAAAAAGUGAUGUCUUAUCUGAGAUCUGAAUUACAGCAGGAGUAGCCAACAAGAGGGAGAGGGAGGAAAAGAAUGAGAUGAACUCUCCGAGGCAACAGGAAAAAUAUGUAAAAGUGACCUGCGUAAACUUCGUCAGUCUUUCCUUGCUUCAGAGAGUCAAGAGAGGCAAAUGAGAGAGAGAUCAAGGUA
rnacentral:lncRNA from 1 species